UACGUAGGGGGCUAGCGUUGUCCGGAAUUACUGGGCGUAAAGAGCUCGUAGGUGGUUUGUCGCGUUGUCCGUGAAAACUCACAACUCAAUUGUGGGCGUGCGGGCGAUACGGGCAGACUGGAGUACUGCAGGGGAGACUGGAAUUCCUGGUGUAGCGGUGGAAUGCGCAGAUAUCAGGAGGAACACCGGUGGCGAAGGCGGGUCUCUGGGCCGAUACUGACGCUGAGGAGCGAAAGCGUGGGGAGCGAACAGG
rnacentral:rRNA from 1 species